GACGAACGCUGGCGGCGUGCUUAACACAUGCAAGUCGAACGCUGAAGCUUGGUGCUUGCACUGGGUGGAUGAGUGGCGAACGGGUGAGUAAUACGUGAGUAACCUGCCCUUGACUCUGGGAUAAGCCUGGGAAACUGGGUCUAAUACUGGAUACGACAUGUCACCGCGUGGUGGUGUGUGGAAAGGGUUUUACUGGUUUUGGAUGGGCUCACGGCCUAUCAGCUUGUUGGUGGGGUAAUGGCUCACCAAGGCGACGACGGGUAGCCGGCCUGAGAGGGUGACCGGCCACACUGGGACUGAGACACGGCCCAGACUCCUACGGGAGGCAGCAGUGGGGAAUAUUGCACAAUGGGCGGAAGCCUGAUGCAGCGACGCCGCGUGAGGGAUGACGGCCUUCGGGUUGUAAACCUCUUUCAGCACGGAAGAAGCGAAAGUGACGGUACGUGCAGAAGAAGCGCCGGCUAACUACGUG
rnacentral:rRNA from 1 species